rnacentral:rRNA from 2 species
ACGCCGCGUGAGUGAUGAAGGUUUUCGGAUCGUAAAACUCUGUUGUUAGGGAAGAACAAGUACGAGAGUAACUGCUCGUACCUUGACGGUACCUAACCAGAAAGCCACGGCUAACUACGUGCCAGCAGCCGCGGUAAUACGUAGGUGGCAAGCGUUGUCCGGAAUUAUUGGGCGUAAAGCGCGCGCAGGCGGUCCUUUAAGUCUGAUGUGAAAGCCCACGGCUCAACCGUGGAGGGUCAUUGGAAACUGGGGGACUUGAGUGCAGAAGAGAAGAGUGGAAUUCCACGUGUAGCGGUGAAAUGCGUAGAGAUGUGGAGGAACACCAGUGGCGAAGGCGACUCUUUGGUCUGUAACUGACGCUGAGGCGCGAAAGCGUGGGGAGCAAACAGGAUUAGAUACCCUGGUAGUCCACGCCGUAAACGAUGAGUGCUAAGUGUUAGAGGGUUUCCGCCCUUUAGUGCUGCAGCAAACGCAUUAAGCACUCCGCCUGGGGAGUACGGCCGCAAGGCUGAAACUCAAAGGAAUUGACGG